UACACCAUAUUCAGGACCACGUGUCUCUGGGAGACUAUGAGAUCCAUGAUGGGCAGAACCUGGAGCUGUACUACCAGUAGAAGACUGAGGACACACACACAACACACACACACACACCACACACAAAAUUCUAUGUAUUAACAAGGCUUGCGUUUGUUGAUCAUUGGAUCAGGGUUUUGCAGAAGACAUUGUUGAUGUUCUAGUGAUGAAAUGUUUUGAUAUUGUUUGGAAAUAAAAGCAAAUAUUUAUAUUAGUUUAA